UACGGAGGGGGCUAGCGUUGUUCGGAAUUACUGGGCGUAAAGCGCACGUAGGCGGACCAUCACGUUGGGGGUGAAAUCCCGGGGCUCAACCCCGGAACUGCCUCCAAGACUGCUGGUCUGGAGGUCGAGAGAGGUGAGUGGAAUUCCGAGUGUAGAGGUGAAAUUCGUAGAUAUUCGGAGGAACACCAGUGGCGAAGGCGGCUCACUGGCUCGAACCUGACGCUGAGGUGCGAAAGCGUGGGGAGCAAACAGG
rnacentral:rRNA from 1 species